rnacentral:ncRNA from 1 species
GUCAAAGAUAAAAACGCAAUGUACAUUGUCUAAUGUGCUAGAACUGGUAGGUAGCCCAGUCGUCAUAGAAUAUCUAUGGUAAGUAACCUUCCCCUCCGGGUUGUCCAUUCUUUGUUAAC